rnacentral:rRNA from 1 species
AACGCGAAGAACCUUACCUACCCUUGACAUACUCGAAAUCCCGCAGAAAUGUGGGAGUGCCGUAAGGAAUCGAGAUACAGGUGCUGCAUGGCUGUCGUCAGCUCGUGUCGUGAGAUGUUGGGUUAAGUCCCGUAACGAGCGCAACCCUUGUCCUUAGUUGCCAGCACGUAAUGGUGGGAACUCUAGGGAGACCGCCGGUGAUAAACCGGAGGAAGGUGGGGACGAUGUCAAGUCAUCAUGGCCCUUAUGGGUAGGGCUACACACGUGCUACAAUGGGCAGUACAAAGGGUCGCGAAGCCGUGAGGUGGAGCCAAUCCCAAAAAGCUGCUCGUAGUCCAGAUCGGAGUCUGCAACUCGACUCCGUGAAGUCGGAAUCGCUAGUAAUCGCGAAUCAGAAUGUCGCGGUGAAUACGUUCCCGGGCCUUGUACACACCGCGAGC